rnacentral:rRNA from 1 species
UACGUAGGGUGCAAGCGUUGUCCGGAAUUAUUGGGCGUAAAGAGCUCGUAGGCGGUUUGUUGCGUCGGCUGUGAAAACCUGAGGCUCAACCUCAGGCCUGCAGUCGAUACGAGCAGACUAGAGUGUUGCAGGGGAGACUGGAAUUCCUGGUGUAGCGGUGAAAUGCGCAGAUAUCAGGAGGAACACCGGUGGCGAAGGCGGGUCUCUGGGCAACAACUGACGCUGAGGAGCGAAAGCCAGGGGAGCAAACGGG